ACCCAAAUAGCUCAGUUGGGAGAGCGUUAGACUAUAGAUGGAAAGGACUCUGGGUCGAUCCUGGGAUUCGGCA
rnacentral:tRNA from 1 species